rnacentral:rRNA from 1 species
AUUGAGCACGUAGGUGGGUUUGUAAGUCAGAUGUGAAAGCCUUCUGUUCAACGGAAGAAUUGCAUCUGAAACUGCGAGUCUUGAGUGUAGGAGGGGAGAAUGGAACUUCUGGUGGAGCGGUGAAAUGCGUAGAUAUCAGAAGGAACGCCGGCGGCGAAAGCGAUUCUCUGGCCUAUUACUGACACUCAGUGUGCGAAAGCUAGGGGAGCAAACGGGAUUAGAUACCCCGGUAGUCCUAGCCGUAAACGAUGGGCACUAAGUAGAGGGG